CAGGAUUUGCCUCUCCAGUUGGGCGUCAUUUUUACCAGACUGAUAUUGAACAAGCACGCUUGGAGAGCAAAGAUGGUCCCUUGUCUGUCCCUUGUGUGAACAGACAAAAUCCAACAUGGCCAGUGGUAGUGAAAUGUAAAAUGGCUGUUGAGAUGUCUUUGCCGAAUGCAUCUGGGCUAACUAUCCAAAAAGGCAUUGAUUGGAAAUUGAUGGAGACCAACCCUCUUCCUGCUGAGGUGGAUGAGAAGUUAACCGCAUCAAGCCAUGUUCCCGCUGAAGAGUCUA